rnacentral:rRNA from 1 species
CCUACGGGAGGCUGCAGUGAGGAAUAUUGGUCAAUGGACGAGAGUCUGAACCAGCCAAGUAGCGUGAAGGAUGACUGCCCUAUGGGUUGUAAACUUCUUUUAUAUAGGAAUAAAACAGGGUAUGCAUACCCUCUUGUAUGUACUAUAUGAAUAAGGAUCGGCUAACUCCGUGCCAGCAGCCGCGGUAAUACGGAGGAUCCGAGCGUUAUCCGGAUUUAUUGGGUUUAAAGGGAGCGUAGGUGGAUUGUUAAGUCAGUUGUGAAAGUUUGCGGCUCAACCGUAAAAUUGCAGUUGAAACUGGCAGUCUUGAGUACAGUUGAGGUAGGCGGAAUUCGUGGUGUAGCGGUGAAAUGCUUAGAUAUCACGAAGAACUCCGAUUGCGAAGGCAGCUUACUGGACUGCCACUGACACUGAUGCUCGAAAGUGUGGGUAUCAAACAGGAUUAGAUACCCUGGUAGUC